CGAAUUCUGAUAAAUAAGGGUAUGAAAUAAAUAGGAAAAUACACAACAGGGAAAGAGAGUGCUAAAAGGCAGCACUGAAGCCAGAGGACGACUAGGUGAGCUGGGCGGUGAUGGACAGACUGCAGGACAUGGAGGAAUCCUCAGACUCUGACCCUGUCUGUGGAGAAAUCCCAGCCACCAGAGUUGAAUUGACUGUAUCAUGCAGG